GACGUAGGGGACGAGCGUUGUCCGGAUUCAUUGGGCGUAAAGAGCGCGUAGGCGGCCCGUUAAGUCGGAUGUGAAAACCCGUGGCUCAACCACGGGCCUGCAUCCGAUACUGGCGGGCUCGAGGCAGGCAGGGGAGAUCGGAAUUCCUGGUGUAGCGGUGAAAUGCGCAGAUAUCAGGAGGAACACCGGUGGCGAAGGCGGAUCUCUGGGCCUGUCCUGACGCUCAGGCGCGAAAGCUAGGGGAGCAAACAGG
rnacentral:rRNA from 1 species